rnacentral:lncRNA from 1 species
ACUCACGCACCCCCCACCCCCUCCCCGGCCGCCGCCAUCUUGUGCCCCCCCCUCCCCCGGGCAGCGCUGAGGGGGAUUUUCUCUUUUACUCUGACGAGCUCCCUCUCCCGGUCCCGCCGCCGCCGCCUGGCGCUGCUGAGGAGGAAAGAAGCGGCCGAGGCUGCCGCCACCACCGCCGGUGAGGCCGCCUCCCCACCCACCGCCCUCCACCACCCCUCCUCCUCCUCCUCCUCCCCCUUUGUCUGCACCACUCGACGACUCCGCCGCCGCCGCCCGCCCGGGGACUGGAGGGAGCCGCUCGCGCCGCCGCUUCUCACCGGCGUCUCGUGCUGCCGCCGCCUUCACUCUGCUGCGUCCGCUGCUCCCCCCGGCCGCAGCGGCAGCGGCGCGAGCCGGAGCGCGAGACCCUGGGCGAGCUCGCGCCCCCCACCCUGCCGCCGCUGCUGCCGUGCCGCCGCCGCCGCCGCCUGCCCCUCGAGCCUCCCGCCGCUGGGAUCCCCCUCCUCGUUACCACGCCGGCUCUGUGCAGCCUCACGAACCAAAUCAAGGACUCUUAAGCAUCACUGUCCCAGAACUGUGUUGGAAGUAUGGAGUGAGAUAGCCCUUUUUGUCUUUUAAAAGUUUCUGGCAUUUGAGAGAUCAGCUGUCCAAGCAUAUCGGACAAUGAAAAGCUCAUGUUCAUAGGUGUGUGUUUUGUUAUAUUGAACAAGAAUAAUUAAGAAUUCAUUGGUCCCAAUUCAGAUGUAGUAUCUUGCUGUAAUUAUUCAAUCAAGAGUUGUUAGAAUAUAGAUUUUAUACAGUAUAUUUUUAAAUCCACAGACUUAUAAAAACAGAUCUUAUUCAGAUUUAUUGACAUAGUAAAAUCCUAUGAAAAGGACGGAUUCACAAUCUGAGAAGCUUAACUAAGAAUUUCAGGCAUGCAGAACAGAUCAGUUCCUCAGAAAGAAUUAGAAGGAAAAGUAGAAUGUUAGUUACUUGAGGGUAGGGACCUUUUUUUUUUCUUUUUUGGGGGAGAGGCAUUGGAGGGGGUAAUGUCUUUAUUUCUCCAGAAC